AAAUUGAAGAGUUUGAUCAUGGCUCAGAUUGAACGCUAGCGGCAGGCCUAACACAUGCAAGUCGAACGGUAGCACAGAGAGCUUGCUCUC
rnacentral:rRNA from 1 species